UACGUAGGGUGCAAGCGUUGUCCGGAAUUAUUGGGCGUAAAGAGCUCGUAGGCGGUUUGUCGCGUCUGCUGUGAAAUCUGGAGGCUCAACCUCCAGCCUGCAGUGGGUACGGGCAGACUAGAGUGCGGUAGGGGAGAUUGGAACUCCUGGUGUAGCGGUGGAAUGCGCAGAUAUCAGGAAGAACACCGAUGGCGAAGGCGGGUCUCUGGGCCGUUACUGACGCUGAGGAGCGAAAGCGUGGGGAGCGAACAGG
rnacentral:rRNA from 1 species